GAACACCCCCUACCACCAGGAUGGGCAGUCAUAUGUGACAGUGCCCAAAGCAAGGCUGGAACGCAGUCCCUUCCAGCUUAGUCUUUCUGAUUGCUAGCCAACAAACCAUCCUUAAUCUGAGCAACUUCUUUAGGCAUUUCCUCUUUUCCCCGCCUGCUCCCACUCUGAACAUGACAAAGUUGCCAGAGUUGGGGCAUUGAGGAAGAGAUAUUUCUGGAAUGUGAGACUUCUUAUGCCUCUGUCUCUGUGUCUCUUUCUUUCUCUCCCUCCCCCUUCCCCUCUCCCUCCCAUCCCUUCUUUUCUUCCCUUUCACUCUGAAGCAGUUUUAGCUUAUGAACAGAAAACAAAACUGGCAAAGCAGACUUUUUGUUUAAUUUGCUCUUUCCUUGAUUGUGUUCAGAGAGGAAAGGUAUGAUUAAAUGGGUUCCAGAUCUCUUAUUGCCCUUAUUCCUCCACCCCACUUCCUUUAGCAAGGUCUGACAAUUUCAAAGGGAGACCUAUAGGUUGUUUAGUUAUAGGCAGUGUUCUUUUAGGCAGGUUUUGACAUCUUUAUCUUUUACCCUAUCCAUUCUACCAAAACCUGUGUAUUUCUUGAGCUUUUAGUUUGAGAAGCUGGAAAGAGAGAGAAGGGCCUUACAGUGAUGGGUUCAGGACAGGUCCUGAACAGGAUGUGAGCGAAGGCAACCAAAACUUAGCUUCACUCCACUUUUCUAAAGAUGGAAAUGCUUUUUUAGGCCUUGGACUGCUUGGAAAUGACCCAAGGGGAAGAGGAGCUGGUAUUUAAAUCGUAUGCUUGGAGGAAGAUUUUCCUUCAAUUUUUCCUAAGUCCUUGAAUUCACCAGUAGAUUUUUGUAAACAAAACUGUAAGGGUGUUUCCUCUCGAUUAUCCUAGGAGUGACCUUUAUAUGUGUGGAAGAUUAAUGGUGUAUGCUCCUUAUGUCACUGUUUUUGAGUAAAAUCUAUUUCCUUUCUCCGUUUCAGCCUAUGACAAAAUUGAUGUUUACAGGCCUGCUUUUUGCUUAUAAUUGACAACAUGUGCAAAAAUACCAAAUUUGUGUCCUGUGCAGUAUGAAGACUUCAGUGAAUAUUCAUUAAUGUAUUAGCUUGUUCUGCUCUCUGUUCAUAUAUGGCUCUAUUCUUAGAAAUAUAAUUUGAAUGUGAUCUUUCAGUAGUCUGAAUAUUUUACAAAUUGUUGCUAUGUCUUGUGAAAAUAACCUCAAAAAGAAAAAUAUGACUCUGUUGUCUUACUUGAUACUUCUUGCCCUAGUAAUGUACUUGACAUUUAUGUUCCUAAGCAGUGUAAGUACUAGUAGAAUUUCUCUGUCAAACUCAAUGAUGAUUAUUAGUACUUUUGUCUUCUCCCAUGUGCUUGAAGGAAAAACAAAGUGUCACUACUGUAUUUCUUGUUUUCAUCAAAA
rnacentral:lncRNA from 1 species